rnacentral:lncRNA from 1 species
GGGAUACAAUAUUAAAACAAAAUAUUCAGGAGUAUUUGUGCAUCUUAAAAAUUUUUAAGAACAUUCAGAUCCCCUUUCUCAGUGACUGAUAAUAUCUAUGAAAACUCUUGCUAGUUAUAAAGUACCAUACUAAUAUAAGAGAUUUUCCAUGAAGCAAAAACCCACUGACUUCUUGAUUCAUUUAGAUUUGUGAUGCUGUGUGUGUGGUAAAAACUCCCUUGCUUAGAAAACAUACACCAUAAGAUACACCAAAAGAUACAACAAAAUUUUCCAAAAUAUUUAGGGGUUCCUCCCUUCCCUCCUUUCUUCCUUCCUUCCCUCCCAAUACUGAAUUUCAAGCAACACAGUAAAUACUACAUAAAAGUAUACAAAAUGUUAAAAUUUACAACACAGUAAUUUUAAAGUUGAAGAAAAGUUUCUUUCCCCUCAAAAGACAAGGAUAAAAUUAUACAGGUAACAAGUCUAACAUGGAGAUUGCUAUGAUGCAGUUUUAUACAACUUUCAGUGGUAGCAUGUGAAAAGGAGCACCUUAGUCUGCAAGAAGGGUCAAGGCUUGCAAAAAAAGUGAAAUGAAUUGGAUUGAGGUUUAAUGGAGGAAGAGAAUUUGUCAGAUUGAGAAGCAGGAAAGGAUAUUUAAGACAAAGGGAAAAGCAUGUAUAAGAAUGUGGAGUAAACGUAGUGUAUUUAGGAAAUUAAAUAAGUUCAUAAACCCAAAGAUAUGGUAGGGCCAAAAUAUAAUAGACUCGUAUCAUGAAGAGCACACUAGGAAGGUAUAGGCCAUUUCAGGAAGUUUGGAAGCCAUUGAAUAACUUGAGCAGAGAAUUUGUACAAUCUAAUGUUUACAUUUUAGUUCUUAAUGUUUGCAGAAGACUGUGACACUGUCUUGAUGGAUCAUGAUUUAUCCAAAUGUGUGGGAGUAUAAUCCCAUAGCAGUGAUUCUCAAUCUUGAGCCUCCAUGGAAAUUACUUGAUUAUUAUCAAGACACAGAUUGCUGGGCUCCAGUCUCAGUAGAUCUAAGGUGGGCCAAUAACUUGCAUUUUUAGAAGUUUCCAAGGUGAAGCUUAUGUCCCUGGUCCAGGAACCACACAUUGAGAACCCCUGACUUAGAGCAUUGCUCCUAAAUUGCACGUUAGAAUCACCUGGGGAGAUUUUAAAAUUGUGCUUAUUUACUGCCCUGCUUCUAGACCAAUUAAAGCAUAACUGAAAAAUAUACCAGGGGCAGAUUGUGUUGAGCCAGUGUUCUAAAUGCAGGUAUAAGAUGGUUCUGGUUAUAUCCAAAAUAAGAACCUUUGUAGGGCAUUAGGAAUGGAAAAAAUGGAAAGCAAUCGAGAGAUACUUAGAUAUUUAAUUUGUAAAACUUAAUAAUGAAAUUUGAGUAGGUAAUGAAGAAAGAAAGGUUGAAGAGGAAAAAAUGUCAAUAUUGACCUCUUUCUGACUUGGGCAAAUACAGCUUUAUAUUGUAUUUAUUUGUACUUAUAUCCUUUUAGAAAUUGGGCAGCAUGCUUAUAUGUAUAGGAAGAGAAACAAUUUUCAAAUGUCUGGUCUAUUACUCCAGGUAAUUUUAAAGACAAAAACUAGACCAAAUAUUUAGCCAUUUCCUUUGGGAAAGUUGUAUAGUUACAAAAUGAACUCACAGAAGCACAAAACACAUACAUACUCCAUCACUGUGCAGUGCUCAGCAUGGCAGGGACAGGUGGUGUCAAUUAUAAAUUCUGUCAGAACACUAAGUAAGUUUUGAGUAUAAGACAGACUUUAUAAUAAUAAUAUUUUAUGUUACAAAACAGUUCAUGGCCUGUACUAGAGAGAUAAUGAUACCAUAGUUUGUUUACCCCAGCUAAAUCCAAAACAGGAAAUAGUGUCUUCCAAUAGGGAGAGCAAUUAGAAUAAUCAUUAAUUAGGGUAUCUGCAUUUCUCUGUGAAGAACUGUUCUUUGUUAGAUAAAAUAAAGCUCUCUGCUUUGAUUAUAGUUACCAUCUUGUGAAAAUAUUGAAUGAGUUUAGAUUCCUAAAGGAAAUUAGAAGUUAGGGAAAAUUCACAUUCAGUUAGAAAUCUUUUCCACUGAAAGAUACUGAUUAGUAAAAAUAAAUAUAGGAGAAUUUCAUUCAUUCCAAGAGAUUAUUACAGGUGACAAGUUUCAAACUGACCUUAAUUGACAAAUUGGAAAAUAUUUUUCCCUGCCAUAGACUACUGUCGGUUCCACUGAAAGUACAAGAUCAUGUGUUAUCUGGACUCAGCUUCCUACUCUUGCUUCUUCUCUCACCAAUCUCCUUACCUCCUACUCCUACCCCUUGAGCUAGAGGGUCCUAGGUAGGGCCCGCACACUACUAUACUCACACCUUGUCAAGUCCACAUGUUCCUGAAAUGCCUCUCCCUUUACCCCUCACCACCUUAUUAAAAUCUUUAUUAAAGCUUGAUUUCCUUUUCAUCACAUGAGAACUCUUUUCCUCAACCCCUUCUCCUCACUCCCCUUCACUCCACCAAAGUGAGGUACCAUUUCAAAGUGUUCCCAUGGCAUACCUCUUUAAAAAUGAACAUCUUUCACUACAUUUUGUCAACUUAUUUAUUUCAGUUUAAUAAUUUAAAUUUUUUGAGAGCAGGUAAGUAUGUUUGAUUCAUCACUAUUAUGGUGGUUGUGUUAAUUUAUUGUUAUGCUACCCCAUCCUAUACCUAGAAAUAAGCAUAGGGUUUAGAACAUAAAGGUAUUUAGUUAAUUAAUUUUUCAGUUAAAUAAAGGUAUUUAUUUAUUUAAAAAAAUGAAUGGAUAUCUAAAAGGACAUGAGGAACAGAGUUCAUUUAACACUAUCAUUAUAGUUAAUAAUCUUUUUUCUUCCAGUAUCAAGAAUAUAUAUGUGGGUAUAUAUAUGUAUAUAUGUACACAUAUUUAUAAUACAUAUAUAUAAAUAUAUCUGUCAGUGGGUAUGCAUUUGAGUUUGUGGGUGUUUCCAGUGGGAAAAUUGGAAUGAUCUUAAUUCAAAUAUAAAAUAUUAUAAAUGGAGGAUGAGAAGUAUAUUGUGUAUUCAUUUGCUUUGGCUGCCAAAACAAAGUGCCACAGAGUACUAUGGCAGAUUGGGUGGCUUAACAGAAAUUAAUUUUCUCACAGUUCUGGAGAUGAGACAUCUGAGACCAGAGUGUUGGCAGGGUUGAUUCCUUCGGAGGUUUUCCUUUUUGGUUUGUAGAUGGCUAUCUUCUCCUUCUCAACUAACUUGGUCUUUGUUCUAUCCAUGUAACUGCCCUAAACUUUUCUGAGAAGAACUCUAUCAUUUAAAUUAAAGCCCACCUUAAUGAUGUUACAUUUAACUUUCAUUACCUCUUUAAAGACCUUGUCUUCCAAUAUAGUCACCUUCUGAGGUACCAGGGUUUAGGACUUGAAUAUAUAAGUUGAAAGGACACAGUUCAGCCCACAACAAGAAACCAUGUGAAGAAUCAGUUUUGAAAGCAAAAAGGGCAAAAAAAAGUGUAGGAGAAUAAAGAGAAGAUGGUCAGAAAAAGGAAAAAAAAAAGACUGGAAAAGUGGAAAAUAGUAAAAAAAUAUAUUAAAAUUGAAGAUUUUAAAAUAUGAUAUAGGCAGACAGGCAGGCAGAUAGACAGACAGAUGAUAGGCAGAUCUGGCUAAAGGAAAUCUGGUAUUUGGUCUCUGAUUUUGCUAUUUUGCUAGCUUGAUAUCCUGUUAUGAAAAACACAAUCAUAGAGCAUCACAGCUGGAAAAGACCUGGAAAAUGUUUUCCAAGCCCUUCUUUUACAGAUAUCAAAAGUGAGAUUCCAACUCUCAUAACUAGUUAGAUACAAAGCCAAGGCUAAAUAAAACCCUGGUGGUUCAUAGCUGGUGAUUUUCACACCAUACUAUUCUUCCAUAUAGUUAUAUGGUUAGAAAAAGUCUGUGAUAUGUGAGAGUCAAGUUGAUAUCUUAAUACUGCUUUCACAGUCCCCACAUCUUCAUAAAGAGUUAUACAUUCAUUUGCUUGCAGGUGAACUAUUCAGUAAUUACAUAUGUAAUUAUUCAUGUAUAUGCACAUGUAACGUACCAAUAAACAUAUAUAUAUUUAUAGCCAUCGUGCCUGAUUAUUUUUUUAAAAUAAUUUCUGUAGCAGUUAUCUAUCUUACACUUUUCUAUAUAUGCAGAAAACAAUGACAAACAGAAUUAGAGAAGACCAAGGAAUUAGUAAAUCAAAACCAUCACUCCCAGAAUUAAAAUAGUUACAUUUCAAAAGCCCCAUGACUGGACCUGUGUGUGUUCAUCCAACCUCAUCUUUUCCUACACACAUAUAACACAUAUUCCAACUAUGCUAGACUGUUUUAUUUUUCCAGAAAAUUCCCUCCUACACCUUGAUUUUUCCCUUUCCUCUCUUGGUCAUACAGUAAAUUACGGAAUUUCUUUUGACUAAACUUCCUCUACCUAAAAUUCCUAAAUUUCCUCGGACAUAAGAGUUGAGUGUAGUCCUUUCAGUACCUUACAUAUAUCUCAAAAAGAAGUUAUAAUAUUGUAGACAUUACUUUCCCAUACUAUUUUUUACCAUUUUAUUAACUCCCUACUCAUAGAAUGCAAAAUAUAAACUCUUGGAGGCCACAAAGUAUGGAUGCAAUAUUUGGAAAGGAAUAUUUACAGAAUAGUUUUCAUGAUUACUAUAGAGCUCUAUACAUACUGGAAUAAAUAUUUAGAUUUUUGAGUCAUGUGUUUACUCUGAGAAACAAUAUUAAUACUCUAUGUUAUAAGCAGUGUAAAUCAGAAAUAUUCAUGUGUGCAUGGGGAUUGAACAUUCAUGAUGUUAAAUAGUUCUUAUAGAGUGCUUUAGAAAUUAAGACAGAUUCCAUUUUAAUAAGUUUUUCUUACAUAAGCUACAUUGUUAAGUUCAUCUUAAGCUAUUCGAAUAUAUAACUUUCAUAUAAAUUUGCAUGAUAUGCAUGUUUAAGAUAUAUGGAAAUGAAAAGCAAAAUCUUGUGAACAGAAGGUGAUAAGAUUUUUUAAAUUUAGCCAUAAUAUUUUUUUUCUCAAGCUUUUUGAAUAUUUUGUUAGCAUUAUUAGAAAACUUAAGCUCUGGAAGAUAAAUCUUUGGAAUUGUUGACUUGGAAACAAGUCAGAUAGCCAAAAUAAAAUUUCACCCUUAAUUAGCAAAGGAUAUAUCUAGACUGAGAUUACACUUUAGAUAAUUUCAAUAUUUCUAAUUGUACAUUUCAAACUUUCUCCAAUUAGUAUUUUAUUAUAAAAAUUAAUUCUAUUUUAAAUUUAUUUUUAGUUGAAGAUGAGAGGAAAAUUGGCUUCAUUGGAGAAAUAUUUUAAAAUAUUUCAUUUAGAAGUUCCUGGACUAAUUUCAUCCUGUUCCUACUUUCCUGAAAAACCUUGUUUAACCCUUUUCACAUUAGCAUUGAUUGCAGUUUCCUUAUUUAUAAUACUGAUGUGAGAUGUCUGUGCCUGUAGUAUUGAGCCCAUAUUUGAACUCCAUGCCUAUUGCUAUCUCCCAUGAAUUUCAUGACAAUAAAGAUCAUGAAUAAAUGAUCAUAUACAUCUUUGUAUCUCUUACAACAAAAUAGAUCUCAAUUCCACAGAAGAUAGAGUUGAAGUUUGAGAUGACAGAAUAAAAACAUGUAGUAGAUGGAAAGCAUACAUGUAGUCCAGACGGGACUUAUAGAGGAAGUGACUCAGAAUGAACCAGGAACUCAACAAGGAAAAUCAAGAUUAUGUGGUAAUGAGUGGCUGGUAAAUUUUGGGAGAUGAGAAAAAGGGACUGGUGAUAGAAGACACCAUGAUAGCAAUCCUCAAAGAAAGCACUAUGGAACACUAAUUAUUCAAUAUGGACUCCCUCUGCUUUUCCCUACCCUUCAGUCUUAUAAGUUAGGAAGAUGCUGCUUACUAUAGUUUCACAGUGUGUAUGCAAGGUGCUUUAGAAUCCUGCAGUAAAGGUAAUUUUUAACCCAGUUUUCCAAACUCAUUUAACCCUGGAAUUCCUUCCACAUCCAGCCAAUAAAAGCUACCAUGUCUAAUGUUUGACUAACUGUUUUUUGAGCUUUUAAAAAGAGCUAAUCAGCCUGAAUAAUUGCGAAGAUGACAAUAAUAUUAGCAGAAGCGGAGAAAUCAGGACUAGGAGCAAUAUGAGAGAGCAGUGGGAAGAGGGUUGUUUUGAGACCUUAACUGGGAAUUCUGGAUGGGCUAUUCAGGUGGGUGUAAAAUGUGGGCAUUUGGGAUAGAGGACUGAAGCUAAGAAAAGAGACAGAAAUAUUUGGGGAUCAUCUAUAUGAGGUUGAUAGUUGAAAUUAGAGAAGAGAACAAGAUUGCAAAGGGAGAGCAUAUACUAACAAUGGAAGGAUAAGAGGACUGUGAAGGAGUAUAGAUGUGUGUGCCUCAUUUAAUACUCUUACCCAGAUCAUGAGGAAAGGUUCAUCCCCAGUUUAGAGAUGAAAAACUAUAGCACACAGAGUUUAAGCAACUUUUUCAAGGUCGCAUAAUUGUAAAUAGAAGACAUCAGAUUUUGACCUCUGCUCUAAAAUUAGCUCUGAGUUUGAUUGUUUCGAUGAAUAUGUAACUAAUACAUUUUUUAAAUUUUUUUUAAUGUUUUCAUUGAGGCACAACAACCAUAUCAUUUUAUUGGGUUUCUUCUUUGAGUUGUUUUUCUUUGAAGAACAAUACAUUUCCAGUUACUGGCCCAAGAGAAAGACAGGAUAUAUUAUUUGGGGUGAACAAUGCCUUCAUUCACAAGAGAUACUUAAUUAUGAACUAGGCUGAUCUCUACACGAUACUGUUUCCCUAAAAAUAAGUACUUGAAAUUGCAUGUGCCAUGUUGAACUUAGGUUGCAGUUAUGGGGAUAAAAAUUAAAAUAAAUGAAAUAUCAAUCUUCCUUCUCUUGUUUUAUUUUAUUUUUUUACUUUAGACACAUAAAAUUAUAUUUAUAGGGACAUAAAAAUGCAUUUUCUAGAUAAUCAUUUCACAUAGUUUGAGUAAUUAUUUUUAAUGACUUUGCAUGGAGAUAAAACAGUUCUGUAAAAUCAAGGUUUGGGAGUUCCCGUCGUGGCUCAGUGGUUAACGAAUCUGACUAGGAACCAUGAGGUUGCGGGUUCGAUCCGUGGUCUUGCUCAGUGGGUUAAGGAUCCGGCAUUGCCGUGAGCUGUGGUGUAGGUUGCAGAUGCAGCUAGGAUCCUGCGUUGCUGUGGCUCUGGCAUAGGCUGGCGGCUACAGCUCCUAUUAGAUUAGACCCCCUAGCCUGGGAACUCCAUAUGCCAUGGGAACAGCCCUAGAAAAGGCAAAANAAAAAAAAAAAAAAAAAAAAAAAAAAAA